AUGAACGCUAGCGGCAGGCCUAAUACAUGCCAGUCGAACGGGAUCCAGAUCAAAGCUUGCUUUGGUUUGGUGAGAGUGGCGCACGGGUGCGUAACGCGUGAGCAACCUACCCUUGUCAGGGGGAUAGCCCGGCGAAAGUCGGAUUAAUACCGCAUGACAUCAUUGAGAGGCAUCUUUCGAUGAUCAAAGAUUUAUCGGACAAGGAUGGGCUCGCGUGACAUUAGCUAGUUGGUAAGGUAACGGCUUACCAAGGCUACGAUGUCUAGGGGCUCUGAGAGGAGAAUCCCCCACACUGGUACUGAGACACGGACCAGACUCCUACGGGAGGCAGCAGUAAGGAAUAUUGGUCAAUGGACGGAAGUCUGAACCAGCCAUGCCGCGUGCAGGAAGACGGCCCUAUGGGUUGUAAACUGCUUUUAUACGGGAACAAACGUCGGUACGUGUACCGGUCUGAGUGUACCGUAAGAAUAAGGAUCGGCUAACUCCGUG
rnacentral:rRNA from 1 species